AAGGGUGUGGCUCAGUGGUAGAGCGCCUGCUUAGCUUGCACUAGGUCCUGGGGUCAAUCCCGGUACCUUCG
rnacentral:tRNA from 1 species